UACGUAGGGUCCGAGCGUUGUCCGGAAUUAUUGGGCGUAAAGCGCACGUAGGCGGCAUUGCAAGUCGGAUGUGAAAUCCCUCGGCUUAACCAAGGAAGUGCAUCCGAAACUGCAGUGCUUGAGUACUUAAGAGGAUCGCGGAAUUCCCGGUGUAGAGGUGAAAUUCGUAGAUAUCGGGAGGAACACCAGUGGCGAAGGCGGCGAUCUGGGAAGAUACUGACGCUGAGGAGCGAAAGCGUGGGGAGCGAACAGG
rnacentral:rRNA from 1 species